UUCCCUGGCAGUCCAGUGAUUAAGACUCUGUGCUUCCAAUACAGGGGGCGCAAGUUCGAUUCCUGCUAGGGAAA
rfam:TPA: Bos taurus chromosome 2, whole genome shotgun sequence.